rnacentral:rRNA from 1 species
AUUGAACGCUGGCGGCAUGCCUUACACAUGCAAGUCGAACGGUAACAGGUUAAGCUGCCGAGUGGCGAACGGGUGAGUAAUACAUCGGAACGUGCCCAGUAGUGGGGGAUAGCCCGGCGAAAGCCGGAUUAAUACCGCAUACGACCUAAGGGUGAAAGGGGGGGAUCGCAAGACCUCUCGCUAUUGGAGCGGCCGAUGUCAGAUUAGCUAGUUGGUGGGGUAAAAGCUCACCAAGGCGACGAUCUGUAGCUGGUCUGAGAGGACGACCAGCCACACUGGGACUGAGACACGGCCCAGACUCCUACGGGAGGCAGCAGUGGGGAAUUUUGGACAAUGGGCGCAAGCCUGAUCCAGCCAUGCCGCGUGCGGGAAGAAGGCCUUCGGGUUGCAAACCGCUUUUGUCAGGGAAGAAAUCCUUUGGGUUAAUACCUCGGGGGGAUGACGGUACCUGAAGAAUAAGCACCGGCUAACUACGUG